GUGGAGUAAAAUAUUGAAAACAUCCCCAGGAAUGUAAAUUUAGUUUUAUUAACCGUAAUUAUACAACAGUCUUAUAUAACUUAGAAACGGAAAAUCCCUCUCCAGGCCGUUGGGAUGUUUCUUGGAACCUCUCUCUCUGUGUCUCUCGAGGUUUGGUAGCUAGAGGGUUACAGCACAGACAAUCAGACUUCAUACCCAUCACUAAAGCAAUGUUUUGGUCAGAUUGUUGUAG